rnacentral:lncRNA from 1 species
UCUAUUCUGUUGAGGAAAAUCCUCUAUUCUGUUAGGGAAAUCCUUCCUCCUAAUUCCUAUAAAUAGGAGAGGGAACAUGUUAAUAGAUUUAAGCUAAAGCUAUUUCAUUUCUACAAUAAAGCUUUUUCAAUUAUUGUUCUUAUCUUCUAUUAUUUCUAUCAUGGUAUCAGAGCCGCUUGCCUAGAGCAAGCUCUCUUCUCGCUGCCAAUUCAUCAUUGGUGUUGCCACUCUGCGCCAACGUCCGUUCCCUUCCGCUACGGCAUCUCUAGUGCUGCUCAUCAGUACUGCCCCACCUUUCUUCCUCGUUGUAGCUAUUUUCCUUCCUCUUCUGCUAUAGCUUCCUCUUCUACUACAGCUUCCUCCUCUGUUGCAGUUUCCUCCUUUGCUGUAGUAGCAUCACUGCAACAUUGCUGUAGAUUUCUUCUCUACCGUCGCAGCCGUAACAGCAACAGCGAUCUACACUUAUCUUACUCAUGAAGCCUCUCGCUUGUAAACAAUUCUUUGCAUCGAUCCAAGAUUGGUAUCCUUGUCAGGAGCACCAUCUUGCGGGGGCAUGAUAGAAGAUAAGAUUUUCCUAACUAUAUGAGGAAAUUUCUCUAUUCUGUUGAGGAAAAUCCUCUAUUCUGUUAGGGAAAUCCUUCCUCCUAAUUCCUAUAAAUAGGAGAGGGAACAUGUUAAUAGAUUCAAGCUAAAGCUAUUUCAUUUCUACAAUAAAGCUUCUUCAAUUAUUGUUCUUAUCUUCUAUUAUUUCUAUCACAUUUGGUUAUCUAUCUGAUUUUUUUUUUUUUUUGCAAUUUCACAUCUAUAUGAUUUGAUAUAUUUUAUAUCAUACAUGCAGAUUGUGUCUUUUUAACGUUAUCUAUCUUAAUUACUGUAAUAUUAAAUUUACAUGCAAGCAUUGAAAUAUGAUAGUUACAGCAUUUAUCUAUUUUUAAUAAUUAUUUAUAAAUACCUUCUGUUGUAAGCAAUCAGACUUGGAAGAUAGCUGCUGCAGGAUUUAUCUUCUUAAGAAGAAAGAAACAGUGGAAGAGGACCAGUCAAAUUUAUCAAGCAUAAUACAGAAAAAGAUCUAAUAGAAGACAAUAGGAAAGGUAAAAAAAAAGCAAAUGACAAAAACAAAGAAGGAAGAAGACGGCCGGAGAGGAACAAAGCCAGAACCAUAGAGGGAGGAAAAAUCCAAAUAAGGUAAGACUCUUCGGAUUGCAGGUGUGCACUUGGACAAAACAUGCAGUAUGUAAACGACAGCAUUCUAAUUGGCUCUAUCUUCUUGACAUCACCAUGGAAAUUAAACUGCAGUAGCAUUUCUCAUCUUCCAGACUUGAUUGUAUAUUAUAUACUUAUCUUAUUUCAGAAUGGCUGUUUCUGACUUCUCUCUUAUGUUACUGUAGCUCGUGGAAUACCAGUAUUUGAUGCAAGAUGUACAAUUUAGUAUUAGUAAGCCAAAAUGGAACAGCUACCUGAGGUUGAGGUUAUCACGUCGAAAGCCAACACGUGUACUGCAUGAACCCGUAAAUAAACGCCACCACCACGACUGGAAGGAUUCAAAGCAUCACAUAAUGCAUCCAGCUGUUUCCCCUUCGUCCCUCAAAGCACAUAAAAAGAUAAGAAGGGGUUGCAUCUCCUUGGAGUAUAUGAUUCUGGGUGGAUUGUGCACAGAUUUGAAAGUACUUGAGAUGCUCCAUAUAUCAAUUAAGUAUAUCACCAAUAUACAUACACCACGAAUGCUCGGUAUACAUUUGCGUUAGCAUGAAGCAAACAUGCCUGUUAGAUGCCAUAUUAGUAUAAUGUGCUUCCAGCAUCUCAUUUGAUCCAUCUACAGAUCUUGUAUAUACUCGGUAAUAGCAUCUGAUAUAAACAGUAUCGAUAAUAAAAUAAAAAAAUAAAUAU